rnacentral:lncRNA from 1 species
UUUUUUAACUAUGUCUGCGUUCACGGGAUGUGGGAAGUCUUCGCCAUCCAUUGUAGCAAGCAUCAUGGCUCCACCAGAGAAUACCUUCUUAACUACAAACGGCCCUUCGUAUGUGGGAGUCCAUUUGCCUCUAGAAUCACCUUGUGCUAGAAUGAUACGCUUUAUUACCAAGUCGCAAAUUUGAUAUACCUGUCUCUUGACUUUCUUAUUAAAUGCCUGGGUCAUGCGCUUCUGAG